UACGUAGGGUGCAAGCGUUAAUCGGAAUUACUGGGCGUAAAGCGUGCGCAGGCGGUGAUGUAAGACAGUUGUGAAAUCCCCGGGCUCAACCUGGGAACUGCAUCUGUGACUGCAUCGCUGGAGUACGGUAGAGGGGGAUGGAAUUCCGCGUGUAGCAGUGAAAUGCGUAGAUAUGCGGAGGAACACCGAUGGCGAAGGCAAUCCCCUGGACCUGUACUGACGCUCAUGCACG
rnacentral:rRNA from 1 species